rnacentral:rRNA from 1 species
UACGUAGGGGGCAAGCGUUGUCCGGAAUCAUUGGGCGUAAAGAGCGCGUAGGCGGCCCUGUAAGUCCGCUGUGAAAGUCAAGGGCUCAACCCUUGGAUGCCGGUGGAUACUGCAGGGCUAGAGUCCGGAAGAGGCGAGUGGAAUUCCUGGUGUAGCGGUGAAAUGCGCAGAUAUCGGGAGGAAGGCCGGUGGCGAAGGCGGCGCUCUGGAACGUACCUGACGCUGAGACACGAAAGCGUGGGGAGCAAACAGG